rnacentral:rRNA from 1 species
UACGUAGGGUGCGAGCGUUGUCCGGAAUUAUUGGGCGUAAAGGGCUCGUAGGCGGUCUGUCGCGUCGGGAGUGAAAACUCAGGGCUUAACCCUGAGCCUGCUUCCGAUACGGGCAGACUAGAGGUAUGCAGGGGAGAACGGAAUUCCUGGUGUAGCGGUGGAGUGCGCAGAUAUCAGGAGGAACACCGGUGGCGAAGGCGGCAUCCUGGACCAACACUGACGCUGAGUGAGCGAAAGCCAGGGGAGCAAACGGG